AGAAGCUGGAAGGUGAGACAAAAAAAUUAUAUGAGGCAAUAGAAUAUUCAGAUAAGUGGAUAAGUCUUUUAAUUUCUGUAAAAAAAUUUGAAACUGAAGUAAUAUUUGGAGUCGGCUUUAUAAAGAUAAAUCUACGCCUGGCAAUAUGUUUCACCACGUAGUAUCAUAUAGACGGUCUCUUGUGUUGAUACUGUGUACGAUAUUGUUUUUGGAGACUCAAGCUGAUUCAGAUAUAUGCAAGAUAUGUACUUGCAAUUCACUUACAACGAGAAUAAAUUGUGUAGGUCGCAAUUUACUAUCAAUUCCACAACCAAUUCCGACGAAUGUUGAAUAUUUAUAUCUGCAAUGGAACAACAUUGCAACCAUCAAAGAAGGUGCAUUCACGGGGCUUUCGAAUUUAAAGGAUUAGAUCUUUCCUACAAUAAAAAUUCAAGGAUUGAAAAAGAGAUGUUUCAAGGCCUUCACAGCUUAGAGAAAUUAAAUCUUGGUGCCAACAACAUUUCAACCAUCAAAGACGGUACAUUCAAAGGGCUUUCC